UACCAUCUCCAAUGUAUCCAGUCUGUCAAAGCAGACGUUAGUAUACUGACACGAAGGCAGCCAUCUUGGUCCAGGCCUGACAUAAGACAUGGCCACAGCGUCUUUCACAGACGACCCAAUCUCCUGCAGCCUCUGUUUGGAGAUCUUCACUGAUCCGCGCGUACUUCCGUGUGGACACACGUUUUGUUUGACGUGUCUCCAAAAUCACAUCGACGCCAAAAACACAGAUGAUACUUUCAUGUGUCCAAACUGCAGGCACGUGGUCGGUAUCCCUGACAAGACACAAUCUACAUCGACUAGGGCUUCACAGUUCAAACGAAACCUGGCACUUAUGGACGCCAUUGGUCUUAUCAAACAAUUUAAAAUACACAUGGCCACAACGUUUUCCACAGAAUACCCAAUCUCCUGCAGCCUCUGUUUGAA